rnacentral:rRNA from 1 species
AUUGAACGCUGGCGGCAGGCCUAACACAUGCAAGUCGAACGAGUGGCGGAAGGGUGAGUAAUGUCUGGGAAACUGCCCGAUGGAGGGGGAUAACUACUGGAAACGGUAGCUAAUACCGCAUACCAUCGGAUGUGCCAAGAGGGGAUUAGCUUGUAGGUGAGGUAACGGAUCACCUAGGCGACGAUCACUAGCUGGUCUGAGAGGAUGACGAGCUACACGUGAAAUGAGACACGGUGCAGACGCCUACGGGAGGCAGCAGUUGUGAAUAUUGCGCAAUGGGGGCAAGACGGAUGCAGCCAUGCCGCGUGUAGGAAGCAGGCCUUCGGGUUGUAAAGUACUUUCCGCGGGGAGACGUUACCCGCAGAAGAAGCACCGGCGAACUCCGUGCCAGCAGCCGCGGUAAUUC